rnacentral:tRNA from 1 species
UCCCUGGUGGCUCAGUCAGUAAAGAAUCUGUCUACAAUGCAGAAGACUCAGGUUCAAUCCCUGGGUGGGGAA